AACUCGUCAAACCCAACAUCAGUCAUAUGAAUCAAUCGAUCGAUCCGAGUCCGAUGUGAAACCCCAAUAGAAAACUCUUUUUCAUUAUUUCACUUUGCCAUGGCCAUGGGCUUAAGGACUCGAUCUUUCGAUCAUCAUAGGACUACUCCUCUCAUCUACCGAGGUUGAUGGAUCCCUUCUUGGUGUGAUCUGGUUCCUACAAUGAAUAUGCUACAACCAACAUACACCUCAAAGUUCCGAAUGGCUAGGAGAUCGAGUUAUGGUGUAGUCAAACUAUAACACACUCAAGGUGAACUGUCGAUGUACCUCAGGUCAAAGAAUUAGACACACUGCUGCAGCAUCGAGCUAGUCAUCGAUGAGAAGGUAGACUUCCUUAUGACUGCUCGAGGUGGUCAUGCUCAGUACUCUCAUUCUCAACGAAUAUCUAUACUCUCAUUCUUGUGUCUACACACCGUAGACUCAAAACACAUCUACCCUAUGGAAGCAAUCGUACACCAACCUUCCGGAUCGAUCACCAUCCUCAUGAUGAUCCUAUGGUCAGAAGUUGUUUAUGAGUUAGUUAUGUAAAUUCAUGUCUUAAAUUUUUAACUCUUAAAAAUAUGAAUUAACAUUCCUACUAACUCAAAAGUUGUAUCACAGACAUAAUGUGCACAAUGUGAUAGUAGAAUAACCCUUUUAUUCAUUUAUAGUCAAAAUUAUAAAUUUGCCUUUACAUUUGUAUAAGAAUGUGACAGCCAAUCUGACAUCUAGAGCACACAUCUAACAUCAUGCUAGUGAGAUCUAAAACUCUAAAACCCUAAUCUUAUACAU
rnacentral:lncRNA from 1 species